GGACAGCCAGUGCAGCAGCACGUGCUCCCCGUGCCCUGCACCCUGCUCGUCAGCAGGGAGCAGGCGGUGCAGCCCUUCGGAGAUGCCGUGGUGCUCACGGAGGACCAGGGGCACCCAGCAACCACCAACAUGUGCCCCCAUCCCACGUCGGCUCCGCUCACCUGCAGCACCGCAGCGCUGGAAUCAGGUGCAGCGACAACGAGCUCAAACAUCCCAGAGGACAUCAGUGACAUCAAUGACCUCCUGAGUUGGAUGAACAACGAAGUGGCACCCAAAACAGAGGU